CCUACGGGAGGCAGCAGUGGGGGAUAUUGCACAAUGGGGGGAACCCUGAUGCAGCGACGCCGCGUGGGUGAAGAAGCGCCUCGGCGCGUAAAGCCCUAUCAGCAGGGAAGAAAAUGACGGUACCUGAAGAAGAAGCCCCGGCUAACUACGUGCCAGCAGCCGCGGUAAUACGUAGGGGGCAAGCGUUAUCCGGAUUUACUGGGUGUAAAGGGGGCGCAGACGGCGAUGCAAGCGAGGAGUGAAAGCCCGGGGCGCAACCCCGGGACUGCUCUUGGAACUGCGUGGCUGGAGUGCAGGAGGGGCAGGCGGAAUUCCGGGUGUAGCGGUGAAAUGCGUAGAUAUCAGGAGGAACACCGGGGGCGAAGGCGGACUGCUGGACUGCAACUGACGUUGAGGCCCGAAAGCGUGGGGAGCAAACAGGAUUAGAUACCCCAGUAGUC
rnacentral:rRNA from 1 species